rnacentral:ncRNA from 1 species
UACCUUUGCAUCCGGUUUGGUCACCCCGACGGGUGCUAACAGGGAAUCAGGUGCGAAUCCUGAACAGUCCCGCUGCUGUAAGUCCAGCAUGAGGCGCUUUCCUCAACGCCACUGCACGUCGCCACAGACGUGCGGGAAGGCAGAAAGACAGCCGAAUGGACAAGUCAGAAGACCUGCCAAACCGCGCAGUGAAAC